rnacentral:misc_RNA from 1 species
AACGCACAUUGCGCCUCCCGGUAUUCCGGGAGGCAUGCCUGUUCGAGCGUCAUUAAAUACCUCUCAAGCGAAUUUGCUUGGUCGUGGAAGAUGAGUAUGCUUGCAUUCUCCCUUCUGAAAUUCAAAGGCGGAUGAUCGCAUAUCCCCAGGUGUAGUAAGUUUAUCUUUUCGCUUGGUGUGUGUGAUUGUCCUGCCGUUGACCCCCAUUUUUUCAAGGUUGACCUCGGAUCAGGUAGGGAUACCCGCUGAACUUAA